UACAGAGGUCUCGAGCGUUGUUCGGAUUCAUUGGGCGUAAAGGGUGCGUAGGUGGUCGUGUAAGUCUGAUGUGAAAUCUCACAGCUUAACUGUGAAACUGCAUUGGAUACUAUUCGGCUUGAGAGUUGGAGGGGGGACUGGAAUUCUUGGUGUAGCAGUGAAAUGCGUAGAUAUCAAGAGGAACACCAGUGGCGAAGGCGAGUCCCUGGACAACUUCUGACGCUGAGGCACGAAAGCUAGGGGAGCAAACAGG
rnacentral:rRNA from 1 species